AACGUAGGUACCGAGCGUUAUCCGGAUUUACUGGGCGUAAAGGGCGCGUAGGCGGCCCGUUCAGCGUGUGGUGAAAGCUCGGGGCUCAACUCCGAGUCGGCCAUGCGAACUGGCGAGCUGGAGCACUGUAGAGGCAGGUAGAAUUCCGGGUGUAGCGGUGGAAUGCGUAGAGAUCCGGAAGAAUACCGGUGGCGAAGGCGGCCUGCUGGGCAGUAGCUGACGCUGAGGCGCGACAGCGUGGGGAGCAAACAGG
rnacentral:rRNA from 1 species